AUGCCAAAUUUGGAGCAACUAGAUGUUGAAGGUUGUAGAAGUUUGGAUAAUGUUGACUCAUCUAUUGGUUUCUUGAAGAAGCUUACUUUGUUGAAUUUGGGAAGGUGCCAAAAGAUUAGGAGCUUGCCAAGUACAAUUCAAAACUUGGUCUCUCUUAAAAGUCUUUAUAUAGAUGAAACUGUUAUUGAAAAAUUACCAUCCUCAAUAUAUCAUCUCACCUCACUUCAGUUGCUAUCUAUUAAUGAAUGCAAAAACUUGAGGAGUCUUUCGAGCAGCAUUUGUAGGUUGAAAUACCUUGAAAAACUUUAUCUCUCUGAUAUUUCAAACUUUAAGACUUUUCCGGAAAUCAUGGAGGUUAUGGAAUGCUUAAAGGCACUUGAUUUAAGUGGAACGUGUAUAAAAGAGCUUCCAUCAUCAAUUGAGUUUUUAAAACAACUCGUUGAUUUGCGGUUAGUGAACUGUGAAAACUUGAGGAGUCUUCCGAGCAGCAUUUGUAGGUUGAAAUACCUUCAAGAACUUGAUCUCUCUUAUUGUUCAAACUUUGAGACUUUUCCGGAAAUCAUGGAGGUUAUGGAAUGCUUAGAGUCGCUUCAUUUAAAUGGAACGUGUAUAAAAGAGCUUCCAUCAUCAAUUGAGUUUCUAAAACAUCUCGCUUAUUUGUGGUUAGUGAAGUGUGAAAACUUGAGGAGUCUUCCAAGCAGCAUUUGUAGAUUGAAAUACCUUGAACAACUUGAUCUCUCUGAUUGUUCAAACUUUGAGACUUUUCCGGAAAUCAUGGAGGAUAUGGAAUGCUUAAAGUGGCUUGAUUU
rnacentral:lncRNA from 1 species